CUGUAGCGUGUAGGAGAGCCUAUCCGUCGAGUUUUCGGCUUCGGAAUCGCCCUCGAAUGGGAGUCCAAAGCGGGUGCGAGACCCGUAACGAAGUCGUGCUCGUCGGUUUGAGCCUCCUUAGAGUCGGGUUACUUGAGAGUGUAGCCCAAAGAGGAAGGUAAACCCCUUCUAAGGCUAAAUAUGACCGCGAGACCGAUAGCGAACAAGUACCGCGAGGGAAAGUUGAAAAGAACUUUGAAGAGAGAGUUCAACAGGGCGUGAAACCGCUUAGAAUAAAACGGACGGAGCCGUCGGUGGCCUUCCGGAAUCAGUCGUACGACGCGCGAUGGCGCGUUUCGCUCGAGCGAAAGUCGGGCGGGCGUGUCGGUAAAUAGUAGCGUUCGUUCGAUGCAUUUCCGGAGGGUAUGCGCCACGACCGAUGCGAAUGGCUAGCGAAUCCGGCGAUUUGAGGUGGAAACCCUUCGGGGUCUUCAUUACCAGUUCGUCGGCCUAUAAAUCGUUAGACCUUAUAAAGCAUCGAGCGCGAAAUAUAUCGAACACUGGCAUCAGUGCUCGUUUAAGCGGUGGAUAGUCGGCGGAAUAUGACGUACCUGCUCGCAGGUUAUGCGUAUCCCCGUUCGGCCUUUGAAAUCGCGGACGAGUCUAUAGUGUUCCGGCGUCGGUGGCGUCCGAGACGGUCAACCGUCCGACCCGUCUUGAAACACGGACCAAGGAGUCUAACGUACGCGCGAGCUAAUGAGUGGAAAACUCAUAAGCGCAAUAAAAGUAAUAGGUACGAUCCCUAGGUAUUUAUUUACCCUGGGCGCAGUACCGUCCCAUCCUGAUCGCUCGUCGAUAGGGUGGAGAUUGAGUGCAUACGUUGGGACCCGAAAGAUGGUG
rnacentral:rRNA from 1 species